ACAGAGGGUGCGAGCGUUAAUCGGAAUUACUGGGCGUAAAGCGUGCGCAGGCGGCCUGAUAAGUCAGAUGUGAAAUCCCCGAGCUCAACUUGGGAACUGCGUUUGAAACUAUCAAGCUAGAAUAUGUCAGAGGGGGGUAGAAUUCCACGUGUAGCAGUGAAAUGCGUAGAGAUGUGGAGGAAUACCAAUGGCGAAGGCGGCAUCCUGGACCGGCAUUGACGCUGAGGAGCGAAAGCUAGGGGAGCAAACGGGA
rnacentral:rRNA from 1 species